UGGGGAAUAUUGCACAAUGGGCGCAAGCCUGAUGCAGCCAUGCCGCGUGUAUGAAGAAGGCCUUCGGGUUGUAAAGUACUUUCAGCGGGGAGGAAGGGAGUAAAGUUAAUACCUUUGCUCAUUGACGUUACCCGCAGAAGAAGCACCGGCUAACCCCGUGCCAGCAGCCGCGGUAAUACGGCGGGUGCAAGCGUUAAUCGGGAUUACUGGGCGUAAAGCGGACGCUGGCGGUUUGUUAAGUCAGAUGUGAAAUCCCCGGGCUCAACCUGGGAACUGCAUCUGAUACUGGCAAGCUUGAGAGUCGUAGAGGGGGGUAGAAUUCCAGGGGUGGCGGUGAAAUGCGUAGAGAUCUGGGGGAAUACCGGUGGCGAAGGCGGCCCCCUGGACGAAGACUGACGCUCAGGUGCGAAAGCGUGGGGAGCAAACAGG
rnacentral:rRNA from 1 species